rnacentral:rRNA from 1 species
CCUACGGGAGGCAGCAGUGGGGAAUAUUGCACAAUGGGGGGAACCCUGAUGCAGCAACGCCGCGUGGGUGAAGAAGUACUUCGGUAUGUAAAGCCCUGUCAGCAGGGAAGAAAAUGACGGUACCUGACCAAGAAGCCCCGGCUAACUACGUGCCAGCAGCCGCGGUAAUACGUAGGGGGCAAGCGUUAUCCGGAUUUACUGGGUGUAAAGGGAGCGUAGACGGCAAGGCAAGUCUGGAGUGAAAGCCCGUGGCUCAACCACGGGACUGCUUUGGAAACUGUGUUGCUGGAGUGCAGGAGGGGUAAGCGGAAUGCGUGGUGUAGCGGUGAAAUGCAUAGAUAUCACGCAGAACCCCGAUUGCGAAGGCAGCAUACCGGUGCACAACUGACGCUCAGGCACGAAAGCGUGGGUAUCGAACAGGAUUAGAUACCCGGGUAGUC